CUGUAGCUCAGACUAGUCUCCAACUUAGUAGGCAGCUGAAGGUGGCCUUGUACUCUUCUACAGAUACCUGGCUCUGGCACAGGCUGAGAGGCUCAUCAUGGCUCCUGCAGCAAUCCCACCAUCGAAGAGGGCACCGGACCUCGUGACAGAUGGUUAUGAGCCACCAUGUGGUUGCUGGGAAUUGAACUCAGGACCUCUGGAAGAACAGUCGGUGCUCUUAACCGCUGAGCCAUCAUCUCUCCAACCCAUUCCCUGGACAUUUUAACAAACACGUGCAUUUACACAUAGGAACACUCACAUAAAACUCCCUUGCUCAUUCAUAGACAAGACCGAGUGCCCCCAUGCCUCUUGGAUUCAGUGUCACCAAGGAAAUUGCUGAUCUGCCAAAGAACUCUCCGGCGUUUUGUCUAUCUGUAUACCAUGUGCAUGCCUGUUGCCUGCAGAGCUCACCGGGGACAUUUCAGAACCAAAAAGUAACACCAAGGCCUGCCAACAGUCGCCAGAACUAGGAGAGAACCUUGGGACACUAUACUACUCCUACACAUGAUUGUGGACUUACAGUCUCAAGAAACGUGAAGAGCAAAGCUGUGAAGUGGAGAAAGGGUAACAAAAGGCCGUGGAGAAGGACACUGAAAGGUCAUCCAGAAGACCUGGAUCCCGAAAUGCAAACAUCGGCGGUCUCCUUAAAUCCACGCAUCCAGGAAG
rnacentral:lncRNA from 1 species